AACAGAGGGGGCAAGCGUUGCUCGGAAUUACUGGGCGUAAAGGGCGCGUAGGCGGGAUGGCAAGUCGGUCGUGAAAUCCCUCGGCUCAACCGAGGAACGUCGAUCGAUACUGCUGUUCUUGAGGAUUGCAGAGGAGACUGGAAUUCCCGGUGUAGCGGUGAAAUGCGUAGAGAUCGGGAGGAACACCAGUGGCGAAGGCGGCUCGCUGGGCCGGCCCUGACGCUGAGACGCGAAGGCGUGGGGAGCGAACGGG
rnacentral:rRNA from 1 species